rnacentral:rRNA from 1 species
AGUGAACGCUGGCGGUAGGCCUAACACAUGCAAGUCGAACGGCAGCACAGGAGAGCUUGCUCUCUGGGUGGCGAGUGGCGGACGGGUGAGGAAUACAUCGGAAUCUACUUUUUCGUGGGGGAUCACGUAGGGAAACUUACGCUAAUACCGCAUACGACCUACGGGUGAAAGCAGGGGACCUUCGGGCCUUGCGCGGUUGAAUGAGCCGAUGUCGGAUUAGCUAGUUGGCGGGGUAAAGGCCCACCAAGGGGACGAUCCGUAGCUGGUCUGAGAGGAUGAUCAGCCACACUGGAACUGAGACACGGUCCAGACUCCUACGGGAGGCAGCAGUGGGGAAUAUUGGACAAUGGGCGCAAGCCUGAUCCAGCCAUACCGCGUGGGUGAAGAAGGCCUUCGGGUUGUAAAGCCCUUUUGUUGGGAAAGAAAUCCAGCUGGCUAAUACCCGGUUGGGAUGACGGUACCCAAAGAAUAAGCACCGGCUAACUUCGUGCCAGCCGCCGCGGUAA